UCGAACUCUCUUCUUCAUAUUUUUUUUCUUUUGAAAACAGCUCUUCGUCUUCGUCGUCUAUAUUGUUCUCUUUUCCACUGGAGAAACAUAACUAUAUGUAACGCUUUCUCCACCAUUGAGAAAAUAUAUUAAGUUUCACCAUUAAGUCAGUCCGUUCAACUUUCCCACUACUCGAAUUUAAUUACUCAUCUUCCCAUCUUCUUUGCAAAUCCCUAAUUUUCCAUACCAUAAAUAGUGGUGCAGCCAUCUACAUAUCUCAUUGUUUCACAAGAUUCAUCAUCGUUUCUUCCUUAUAGCGGUGACGCGUCUAAUGUAGAGUCAAGAACCAAAAGAUGAGUGAUACAGAGGAGGCCAUGAAUGAUCUGCGAUGACCUUUCAUACACACAUGAGGGUGUACCGGAUCGGUUCAAGACAAUCGAGUAUUAUGGGUUCACCUCAAGUUAUCAGAUACAACUCUAUCCCUAUUCUUUCAUAUUCAAUUUCAUUCGUAGUUAUUCUUCUCCAACACAAGCUGCAAUCACUAAGGAUCUCAGUUUAACUGUAGCUGAGGACCUGAGUACUCUGUGUUUGGUUCUCUAUCCAACGUGGCUGCUAUGGUUGGUGCAAUUUCCACUGGUCAGAUCGCAUAAUAUAUUGAACGAAAAGGG